rnacentral:rRNA from 1 species
GCAUCUGUGCAUGCAGCAUAUCAAUAAGCGGAGGAAAAGAAACUAACAAGGAUUCCCCUAGUAACGGCGAGUGAAGCGGGAAGAGCUCAAAUUUGAAAUCUUAAAGGGUUUCCCUUUACGAAUUGUAGUUUAAAGAAGUGUUUUCUGUUGAGGUUUUGGUAAAAGUUCUUUGGAAUAGGACAUCAUAGAGGGUGAGAAUCCCGUAUUUGACCUUUACUUUCAACUUUGUGAUACACUUUCAAAGAGUCGGAUUGUUUGGGAAUGCAGUCCAAAAUGGGUGGUAAAUUUCAUCUAAAGCUAAAUAUUGGCGAGAGACCGAUAGCGAACAAGUACCGUGAGGGAAAGAUGAAAAGAACUUUGAAAAGAGAGUUAAACAGUACGUGAAAUUGUCAAAAGGGAAGCGUUUGACACCAGUGUUGUUUUUCUGAAAAUCAAUUAAAGAGCUGUUUAUGCUAAGUUGUUUAGACUUUAUCAGCUAACUGUUUAGUUUUGAGCUUUUCUUUAAUGCACUUUUCAGUUAACAAGUCAACAUCAAUUUCUUUUGCUGUAAAAAAGCUUGAGGAAGGUGGCUUGAGAUUCGUCUUAAGUGUUUAUAGCCUCUUGCCUAUGCAGUCGGAGAGAUUGAGGUCUGCAGCGUAGAUCCUUCGGGGCUAAAUGCAUUUGUGCUAAGUUAUAGCAUUUUAUAGACAACUUGUUGACUAUGAUUUGUCUUGUAGCUUACUCGCUUAUGUUAUUUUACCUACGCUUAGGAUGUUGAGCGCAUGUCUCUCUCU